GUCUGACCAGACAUAGAGGGAACGAACAAGAGUGCUGCAAAUUGAAGCCGGAGGAAACGAAGUUGAUCGAAGUGGAAAAAGACGAUAUAUAAAAAGGUGUGGGACAUUCCAAAUGUUCCAAAAGUGAGCACUCCACGAAUGGACAACAGUUUGCAGGACCUCUCAGGCACCCACAACCAGCGUCUGAUCGGGAUGGAGCACCAACCCCAUUCCAGGAAGAGGUCCAGUCUGCCCCGGGUCAGAACCACUUCUACAGCAACUACACAACUGUGUAUGCACUUAUCAUUAUUGAUAGCCAGUCUGAGCCAGAAGACACAAUGGAGCAAAGCACAGAAUACCUGACUGCGGCACACAUUGUUGCAGAACUCUCUGCAAAAAUAACAAAUACAUCUUGCAGCAGGUUCAAUAUUAAGAGCCAAUGUGUGGGAUGGAGCAAUCCGCGACUUCAAAG